UACGUAGGGGGCAAGCGUUGUCCGGAAUUAUUGGGCGUAAAGAGCGUGUAGGCGGUCCGGUAAGUCAGCUGUGAAAGUCAAGGGCUCAACCCUUGAAUGCCGGUUGAUACUGUCGGGCUAGAGUCCGGAAGAGGCGAGUGGAAUUCCCGGUGUAGCGGUGAAAUGCGCAGAUAUCAGGAGGAACACCAAUAGCGAAGGCAGCUCGCUGGGACGGUACUGACGCUGAGGCGCGAAAGCGUGGGGAGCGAACAGG
rnacentral:rRNA from 1 species